rnacentral:rRNA from 1 species
GAUGAACGCUAGCGGCAGGCUUAACACAUGCAAGUCGAGGGGUAUUGGUUUUCGGACCAAGAGACCGGCGCACGGGUGCGUAACGCGUAUGCAAUCUACCUUUUGCAGAGGGAUAGCCCAGAGAAAUUUGGAUUAAUACCUCAUAGUAUAGUAGUUUCGCAUGAAACGACUAUUAAAGUUCCAACGGCAAAAGAUGAGCAUGCGUCCCAUUAGCUAGAUGGUAAGGUAACGGCUUACCAUGGCAACGAUGGGUAGGGGUCCUGAGAGGGAGAUCCCCCACACUGGUACUGAGACACGGACCAGACUCCUACGGGAGGCAGCAGUGAGGAAUAUUGGACAAUGGGCGCAAGCCUGAUCCAGCCAUGCCGCGUGCAGGAUGACGGUCCUAUGGAUUGUAAACUGCUUUUAUACAGGAAGAAACACUCCCUCGUGAGGGAGCUUGACGGUACUGUAAGAAUAAGGAUCGGCUAACUCCGUGCCAGCCGCCGCGGUAA